rnacentral:lncRNA from 1 species
GCAAUGUUUGCAGUAGCUGCAGAACAACAAACAAGCAACUAGGAAAAGGCCCUGCAUUAGGAGGGAGGCAGGGCCGAGGGAUUAGCAGAUGGGGGAAGAGGAUGAGAAGCACUAAGAGACUGGAGAUGUUCUAUUGGCUUAGAAAACUUUCUGCUGGGAAUGAUCUCACCAUGAGACAGCCAAGAUCAAGUGGCUUGACCCAGUAUGUAAGCACUGGGCAAAUUCUCCAGCCUGAGUGGCUCACAGUUCCUCAGCAUUCAUUCUACAAAGUGGCAUUACUUCUCAAGUGGAGUGCUUGGAAAACAGAGAGGAACAAGACUCAGCUAUUCUAA